GGCAAUUAGAUGCUUGCCGUAGCACCUUCUUAUAGUAAGAUUCUUGAGUUGAGGUGCAACCACUUUGAAAGCAUGCAGAGUCCCACAUUCAUUUUCAAGUUUACUUAAGGUGAGAUUCUUUAAGUUUGCACACUUUGAGAAAAUACGAGCACCUUUCUCAUCAUAAAACGCGACGUAAUCAAGCUUCAACGUCGUUAGAGCCGGGAGGUCCCAAGUUGAUCCAAUAAUAAUAGAAUACUGGUCAAUAAAGCUAACAGAAGAUCCAGACAAACUAAGAUACUUGAGGGACCGAGAACGAAGGAGAAAAAGAGGAAAAUCAAUCCUCUCAGCACGCAGCCAUGUUACAGUCAGUUGUUGGAUAUUGUGAGAGAACGCAUAGUCAAGAAUUGUUUUCAGCAACGCCUCGCUAAGUGCUUCACGAAAACUGAGGUUGACUGAAUAAACUUCCGUUUGAUCGUUGCGAUGAGACAAAACAUUGUUAACAAACUCAGAGAAGGCACGUAAAGAACGGAAAUUGUCGGUUGAGAUAUUGAGACAGGGCAUGGAAGUCCAGAUAAACCGCCAUCUAGAAGACAAAGCAGUGGUUUGAACAGCAUGUUUAAUGUGAAUAAGAGAGAGGAUUCUAUGGAUGAGAUCAUCCGGCAACAUGCUUAGCCGAUCGACUUGUGCAUUCGUUCUAGCUUUACUAUGCUCGGAAUCCAUUAUCUCCUCACGCUAACACUAUAAUUCCAUA
rnacentral:lncRNA from 1 species